rnacentral:rRNA from 1 species
UACGUAGGGUGCAAGCGUUGUCCGGAAUUAUUGGGCGUAAAGAGCCUGCGUGAGCGGUGUGUCGCGUCGGCCGUGAAAACCUGCAGCUUAACUGUGGGCUUGCGGUCGAUACGGGCAUCACUGGAGUUCGGCAGGGGAGACUGGAAUUCCUGGUGUAGCGGUGAAAUGCGCAGAUAUCAGGAGGAACACCGGUGGCGAAGGCGGGUCUCUGGGCCGAUACUGACGCUGAGGAGCGAAAGCCAGGGGAGCAAACGGGG